UAAUUCCAUUUUGUUCCUUAAAUUCCUUCUUCUUCUGCCUUUUUCUUCACCGAGGCGCAGUGAGAGUCAGAGAAAAAGUGAGAUGAGAGAAGAGAGGAAUAAUGAGAGAGAUGGAUGGAUCCGAAGGAUCCAUGUGCUGGAAAAACCGGGUGAGACCCGUGACCCCUAACACAAAACCAAAGCCAAAGCGGCAAACCCGGAGAUGAUUCCGGCAAGACAAACCGGAAUCUGGCGGCUUGAAGACCGGUUCUCGGCGGGCCAUAGAUUUCUGGCCAAACCCGAAGAUUGUGCACCUCGUGGACGACCCAGCCGAUCCUCCAUAGUCAAUCACCGACCGAACCCAGAACCUCCGAAACCAUGAAGAUCCGACGGGUCUGACGCGUCCGACGAACCCGAGAGACCCGUAACUCCGAACCCGGCCUUUCAUUGGAACCCAUGAAGCCGACCCUCGGUAGUGAAGUUCGGCGCGAUUUCCGGCGGCUCCAGUGAAUUUCCGGCGAAGACCCGUAAGGCACGAACCCAGAACCCCGUGCUGGAUGGCAUUUUUCCGACGAUCGGGAUGGUGUUUUCCGGCGACAAACCCAACCACUUCAGGGUAUUAAUUAUUGUGAAUUAAAUAAUGUGAGUGGAUUGAUAUAGAUUAAAUAAUGUGAGUGUGUGCAACCAGCCCGACCCGGCAGCAACCCGAUCCGUCAACCCGUGACCCGAACCCGUAAAUCCAACCCGGCAGUGACCCGUCUCCGGCAGAGUCUUCCGGCGACUUUUCCGGCGACUUUUCCGGCGAUAUCAGUAGCUUAUUAUGAAAAUCCUUGGAUGAUGAACUGAGAGAACUCAUGAGAUUGUGGUUAACACCACAAUCACAUGCGAGUUUUGCAGGAAUGAAGAUAGGAGUUGCUAGGUGGAUUAAGGAAGGGACCUAUAGCUUAUAGCUCUUAUACACAAUGAUUCUGUAAUGUUCGUGCCGCAUGUGGCACGCUUAUUAUUAUUUAAAUGUAUGUUAUCAUAUCAGAUCAAACGGUCCCUAUUUUUUAUAAUGAGUUUAUUCGGUCAGCUCUGAUGUUUUAUUGUAAAAGAAAAAUGUACUCCGCUGUUAAAUUAUACUCUGAUGACAUUGUUGUUGAUGUCGUAACGAUACGUGAAAACCGAAAUUUUCACUUACGCUUUUUAUAAAAAAGCGGGUCGUUACAGCACGUCCGGACGAUCAACUUAUCUGUCCGGACGGCUGUCGUUCAAAACAACAAUGCCACGCGUGUCCGGACUCUGGCCACAAAGAUCCGGACGCUUCACAAAGUAACUCUAAAAGAGAGCCCCUUCUAUCCGGCAGUGGCAGAAAAGAGGGGUUUUAUGCCCACCAAUUACCAUUUGACACAUCAGCUAAAAGCAAAAAAAUGCAAAAAAAUGAAAAUUUUGGUGAAGUAAGCAAUCCUCUCCCAACAGUACCAACAUUCCAAAAAAAAAAAAAAAAUCUCACUGCACGUCCGCCCAACGCCGCCGGUCCGCCGGUCCAGAUCCUCUUCCCCGCGACCUCCCGACACCGUCGACAGUGAUCCGGUCACAGAUCCGAACUGAGCCUCUUCUUCCGGGAUCUCUCCCUUUCGCCGGCCGUUCUCCCCUCUCCCCGGUUUGGUGGUGCGGCUUCCAUGGGCUACGCCGGUUUGGUUGUCUGGGUCGGGGUUGAUGAGUGCAAAAUAGUGUAUAAUUUGACCCCUUAAUUUACAUUUGUUAAUCCUUUAGCUUUGUUAUUUUCUAAUAUUUUUUUGUUAGUUUUGGUGUCUUGGUGUUUUGUAGGUGAUCGAGAAAAAAUGAUGACUUUUACGUGAAAUUGCAAAGAAACGGAAUUAUAUUUUCAGAAUGCGAUUUCUCUCCAAAUUUGCAAGGCACCGACACAUAUUCAACUUCAGGAUUUGCGGCACCAAUUUGGAGGAUUAUUUCCAUACCUGGAGCGCUGAUUUCAUGUGGGCCAUGUGCGCAAAUCUGGAGCAUUAAUUCUUUUUGUCCCAUGCAAAUUUGGCAGCACCCAAACAAGGAAGGAGUAGCAGCCUUACACAUCUUCUCCAAGCUCGCGACAGCACAUGCACUCAUUCCAUCCACUAAACUCAUCUCUCAUCAUUUCCAUCCAACCGGCCAAACAUCACAUGCACUCAUCAUCCUUCCACUAAACCCCAUAAAAUAAUACCACUCAUCAUCCUUCCACUCAACCACAUAAAAUAAUCAUCUCUCCUCACUUCCACUUACUCGGCCAAAACAAUGCAGCACAUUCUUCUCAUCUUUCCUUCCAUUCUCGGCAGCACCUGCAAAGAUCACAUGGGCAGCACACCUCCACGCAAGGGCAGCACGUCCAGCAACUCCCAAAGACCAGCACAUGUCCACCUGCACCAUCUCCAACCUACUGGACAGCACUUCUCCAUACCUGGCAGCAACAUGGGCGUAGGAGCACUGAAGAUACACGGGUCUUCUCUCAGAAAAAGGCAGCAUGGACAGCACCGAAUCUUCAUGGCUUCUCCAUAUUUUAUUCUUUCCAAAACUGAGCAUGCUCCUCUGCAGGGGAAUCACAGCAGUACAGCAGCAUGGGCAGGAGGUUUUGGACAGAAUUUCUGUCCCAAUUGAGAUGCAGCACACGUUCAUCUCCAAGCCUAGCAGAACACCGAAUCUCAACUCUAGCUUUUAGUCUAUAAAUAUAAUGCUUGCUCUAGGAAGAAAAGAAGAGGAGGGGGAGUAGAGGCGUGAGCCUCUUGCUUCUCUCCUUCUUGUAGCUUAUUUCUUUCCUUUUGUAACUCUUUGAUUUUUAUGCUUUUAAUUUAAUGUUUUAAGUUGUAGUUAUUUUUAUCCAUGAGUAGCUAAUUUUUCAA